rnacentral:lncRNA from 1 species
UCCUCUCCUCUUCUCCAAAACACCACACCACCAUACCCACUUUAUAUUUUCUUUUAAUCUUCACUACUCUACAUCAAAUCCUAAUCAAUUUCUCAAGGGAUUUCAAGGAGCAUCAAAAUUUGAGAUUGGGUAAAAGUGGGAAAUCAUAAAUCAAGGCUUGUCAUACUUGCUCUAUAGCAAUUUGUGACUUGUUCUUGUUGCUUCUCACUCCUCUUCACCUUUUUCUCUUUAAUUGAUGUAUAUUUUUGUUGAUUUAUUGAUGGGUUGUGAGUAGUCUAUUUAGGAAGCUAGGGUUUGAGCCCUAGCAUGGAUUUAAUGUAAUAAAUAUGUUUUGAUUUAAUGGUUUUCAAUUUCGUGUUUGGCAUAUGUUCUAUUCUAUAAUAUUUGGCUUAGAUGCAUGCUUAGGAGCUUGAUUAACUCUUGAAUGUGUAGAUGAGCAUGUCUAGAAAAAUUAGGGGACUUAAUCACUUCUCUAAUUUAUGGCUAGGACACUUGUUAGAACAUGGUUAGUUACAAUACUAAUUUCGAUUGCCGUAUUGGCUAGCUUGGGAACCUUGAUUCUAGGACUCUUCGCCUUUUGGUGCAACUAGAGGCCCUAACAAGGCUCUAGAUUGUCCCAAUUGAGUUUCUACGACCCUUGAUCCGGAGUAGGAAUACCCUUUAAGGAAUCUAUUGACCCAUGAGCCUUGAAAAGCCUUGGAUACGGUUCUUGAUGCCAUUAUGAAUUAAAUGACCAUAUCGGAGCAUAUUUAUGCAUUGAAUUUGGCUAGGAGGAUACCCUAGUGACCUAAUUUUCAUUUCUUGAUAAGUUUCUAUUAUCUUUAUCUUUAGUUGCAAUAUUAAUUUUCAAUUGUCAAUUUUAUUUUUCACAAUCAAAAUCAAAUUUCAUAAACCACUUUCAUUGUCAAUACCACUUGGUUGUGGGUUUCCGCAUUUAUUUGUGGUUCUCUUGAUCAAUUUUAGGCUUGGUUGUUCCGAGCCGGGCAUGUAAAUAGUUUGGUGCUAUUUUUCUAGGUUCUUUGUUAAUUGUUAGUGACUUAGUAAUCGGCAUAACCAAGGAUUGAAGUUAGCUUUUCAAUCCCCGUGGUACGAUAAUUUCGGGUCUAAAUAUUUCCCACUUCUUUGAUGACCGUGCCCUUAUUGCGCGUAAGUUGCAUUUAAGCACACAAAUCAGGAAGAUAUAGAGAUCUGAAGUGAGAGAAACCUGAUCAUAAUGCUGAUUAAGUAAAAUAGAUGCCAUCUUUUCCACAUCCAAGUCCAUAGUACAGAGUAGUUUGUGGCAUUCAGACAAGUCGCUCCACUCAAGCCAACCCAAUGAGUUUGGGUGCCACUUGCAUUUAUUGCUGUUAUGGUUGGAGAAAGCUGUGGAAUUUCUUGAAGCCUCUUACAAUCGCGUAAUAU